GGCCUCUUGGAUUUAAUAAGAGGUUUGACCUGCCCAGUGAAUAUUUAACGGCCGCGGUACUCUGACCGUGCAAAGGUAGCAUAAUCAUUAGUCUUUUAAAAGGAGGCUGGAAUGAAGGGUUUGACGAGGAAUUAACUGUCUCAUUUUUUUUGAAUUUAAAAUUUAACUUUUUAGUCAAAAGGCUAAAAUUUUAUUGGUAGACGAGAAGACCCUAUAGAGCUUUAUAUUUAUUUGAUUAUUUAUAUUAUAUUAUUUAUUAUUAUUUUGGGUAAAUAUUUUGUUGGGGUGACAAAAAUAUAUAAUUAACUUUUUUAUUUUAAGUACAUUGAUUUAUGAUUAAGAGAUCCAAUAUUAUUGAUUGUUAGAUUAAGUUACCUUAGGGAUAACAGCGUAAUCUUCUUCCAGAGUUCAUAUUUACGGGAGGGCUUGCGACCUCGAUGUUGGAUUAAGAUAAUAUUUAGGUGUAGCCGCUUAAUUAAUAGGUCUGUUCGACCUUUAAAUUCUU
rnacentral:rRNA from 1 species